rnacentral:misc_RNA from 1 species
AACGCACAUUGCGCCCAUUAGUAUUCUAGUGGGCAUGCCUGUUCGAGCGUCAUUUCAACCCUUAAGCCCCUGUUGCUUAGCGUUGGGAGCCUACAGCACUCGCUGUAGCUCCUUAAAAUUAGUGGCGGAGUCGGUUCACACUCUAGACGUAGUACUUUUUACCUCGCCUGUAGUGAGACCGGUCCCCUGCCAUAAAACCCCCCAAUUUUUAAAAGGUUGACCUCGGAUCAGGUAGGAAUACCCGCUGAACUUAA